rnacentral:rRNA from 1 species
GGACGAAUACUACUGGGGGUAGAGCACUGUUAAGGCUAGGGGGUCAUCCCGACUUACCAACCCUUUGCAAACUCCGAAUACCAGUAAGUACUAUCCGGGAGACACACGGCGGGUGCUAACGUCCGUCGUGGAGAGGGAAACAACCCAGACCGCCAGCUAAGGUCCCAAAGUAUUGCUAAGUGGGAAACGAUGUGGGAAGGCUCAGACAGCUAGGAUGUUGGCUUAGAAGCAGCCAUCAUUUAAAGAAAGCGUAAUAGCUCACUAGUCGAGUCGGCCUGCGCGGAAGAUGUAACGGGGCUAAGCAAUAC